rnacentral:rRNA from 2 species
CUCAAAUCAGGUAGGACUACCCGCUGAACUUAAGCAUAUC